GAAAGGUGACCCAGUAGUUCAGCCUGUCCCAGCUGCCUGCCCCAGCACCAUCCCAGACCCCUUUCCCUGGGGCCCACCUUGGCCCUGAGGAAGGCCAGAGCUCGGCUGCUGUUCUCCAGGAAGUGCACACGCAGGCGGCCCCGGCUCGGGGGUGGCAGGGCCUCCCCUGAGAUGAGCUCCAGCAGCCGCAGGAGGUGGAUGCCGUCAGCCAGCUCUGUGUACAGGUUCCGGAUCUUGAUGCCCGCCUGGGGAGGGGACAGGGACCCUCAGCCCAUGGAGUCCUGUGUGAUGUUGUGAGCGUGGGAGGACAGACUGAACUGCUCGGCCCGUGGAGUCCUGUGUGAUGUUGUGAGCGGGGAGGACAGACUGAACUGCGUGGUGCUUCGCACAUAGACCUCAACAGGGAUUGGCAUUUUGAAGCUGUUGGCGGGGGCUGUGGACUGCUUUUCUUCCUUUCUAGCUCAACGGCAGCUAAAGCCACUGCAUACAAUGCAAGGACUGGCUCCUGUUUGGCCACGACUGAUUGCAGCCCCUGGUGAAAUGAGAACCCUGUGGGUCGGAACAAAGUUUGGAUUAUUUAUGUUGCAAGUAACUAAAAUCUCAAGUGAAACUGGUUUAAACAUUAUAUUUUUAUUAUUUAUUUAUUUAUAUUUAAUUCUUUUUUAGAGACAGGGUCUUCUUAGGUUGCCCAGGCUGGUCUUGAACUCCUGGCCUCAACGAUCUUCCCACUUCAGCCUCCUGCAUUGCUGGGAUUAUAGGUGUGAGCCACCAUGCCUGGCUUACACAGUAUAAAGGGAAUGCAUUGGCCCACACAGUGGAAAAAAAUAUCUAGUAGGAAUAGGAAGGACUUCAGGUGAGGUUUGAUCCAGCAGCUCAAAUGUUGUCACCACAGGCCUGGAUUCCUCUGGCCUUUCUCAAGGUCUCUUUCAUUUUCAUGCUCCACAAGAUGGCUUCUGCCAGGCUGACCUCCCUCCCCUGACCCCAGCAGCUCUGGACACCCCUCUCAGUGCCAUUUAUAUUGUUGCAUCAAUAGGCUCAUUUCUAUAUACUGCAAGGUUCAGAGAAGACAGAGUAUCUCUCUCAAGAGUUCUAACAUAAGUCUGGGGGUCCUGGCUCUCAUAGGCUUGAACAGGGCCACAUGUCCAUUCCUGAGCCAAUAUUUGUGACCAAGGGGAUGUGGUCAAUCUCAUCCAAACCUCACUUGAAGUGAGGGUGGGAGGAGGAGUGCUCUGCAAGGAGACUGUAGGUCUGGACCACCAAAAAGGUAGAUGGGUUGGUGGGAAAAGCCAGAUGCCUACUAUGGUAGUGGGCGGGGGGAGGGCACACUGGCAAGGUACAGCAAGAGGCAGGGGCAGUGCUGGACAGGCAGGGGCUCCUCCCUAGCACGACUGGAGAAAGGACUCCUGUGAAGCGGUCACCUCCAUGAGUCCCUCCUGUCCUGGCUUCCAACCACUCUGAAGUGGGGCUUUUGUCCACAGACCUGGCCUCUGCUGCCUACCCUCUUCUGUCCCCACCUGAUGGGGCCGCUUUCCUUCUGAAGCGGCUGCAUUUUGGGUUUCUCUCCACAGGAAGAGUUGGGGCUCACAGGCACACCCUCUCCCUAACUCUUCUCCCCCGGUUCAACCUGGAUCCAGGGAUCCACACUCUGCUCCGAGAGGCCAGCACGCAGCCACUGGAAAAUGAGCCAGUGGGAGAGGGCAGCUCCAUGUUUAUUGAUCAGCAGACUAUGUCUUUUUGUUUGAAACUUCUAAAUAAGAUUACAAAAAGAAAAAAAAUAGAAGCAUUGCGUAUUAACUGCAUUGGUUAACCAACAUUGGAACCCAAUACUCUUGUAUUAGGCCCGCAUUUACCUGAGUAAACUCAGUGGUUUUCUGUCCUAAGCAUGCUUGCCUGCUACAUCCCAUGGAGAAAAUAAACAGUGAAACACUUUCCUCAUCUUCAAGGCAAUUGUCUCAGGCAUCCUCCAGGCAUCAUGAAGGAGGGUGAGCGAGGGUGCGAGGUGGAAAGGUCCAGGCCGCGGCUGUGACUCCCGCGGGUGAACCACAGCUCCACAGCCCCAAAUCCAAAGAUGCUCUUGCUGCAGCACGACAAGUGUUCAAAAGAGAACCAGGCCCAGCCCGGAGAAAGGAAAGCCAAAAGCCAACUGAAUGAAUGACCCUCCCCCAGAAGAGCAACCCUGCCCCCAGGCCAUCCAAGUGCGAACAUUACCAGGUGCCAGCAGGGAAAGGACUCCGCUGCCUGACGCCUCUCCCACCUGAGAGCGCAGAGGUAGGGAGAUCACAGUGCCUGAGAGGUUUUCCUCCACGGAGAAAUCAGAGACCUCAACCUGCUGCCCUCUAAAGCAGCUUUCUGUAUCCAGACAAAACUUACAUAUGUACACGUUGUUUUAAAACGACAUACUCAUGUGACACACAUGUAUAUAAAUUCAUGUUUAUAUAUGACAAUUGAGGAGAGUUAAAGAACAAGAUAAUUCUGGAUGGAAAAAUCAGUUUGCCUGGGCAUCUGUAAACCUUUGGGCAAGUGAAUUCCCUCUUCUCUCUCAGUUCACCCUUUGGUGACCUCCACCGUGGCUGCAGACUUCAGGUGGUCCUCACGCAUUCACAGAACUGUCUGCUUAGGUUACAGCACUUUGGGAGGCCGAGGUGGGUAGAUCACGAGGUCAGGAGAUCGAGACCAUAUUGACCAACAUGGUAAAACCCCAUCUCUACUAAAAUACAAAAAUUAGCCGGGCGUGGUGGCGGGUGCCUGUAGUCCCAGCUACUUGGGAGGCUGAGGCAGGGGAAUCACUUGAACCUGGGAGGCGGAGGUUGCAGUGAACUGAGAUUGCGCCACUGCACUCCAGCCUGGGUGACAGAGACUUCCUCUCAAAAUAAAAAUAAAAAUAAUAAAAUAAUAAAUGGUUCUUUUCUAUGCGUCUAAUGAAUUUAAGUGCUUGUUAAGACUAAAAACCAUGUUAUGCAUUUCCUGCUCUUAAAACUAAAUUAUGUAGAAAGUAAGCUAGGGAGUGUAAGGGUAGGCAUCUGGAUAUAAAUGCUUCUCCCAAAUCAAGAUUUUCUCUUCAAUCUGUGCCUUUGACCCUGUCACCAAAGGCAGGUGACAGAAAAAAAAAAUUAUGUGCCUUUUGGAAGACUCAGUGGGACGGUUCUGAUUUCAUUCACUUCUGGUGCCAGCAGGCCCCCAUACCAUGUGGCCAUUGCUGUUUCGUGUCUCUUCCUGCAUAAAUAAUGCAGAGAGGCCAUGCAGGUAUGCAAUUUUCUGGAGAUGAGGCAGGGAGAUUUGCAAGGAAAAGUCACCUACCUCCCCAAGCUGGUGCCCACAGAGGGGGAGGCACCUCCACCUGACGCAGGUGUCUGAGCAGCAGUCCAGAGAGGUUUACUCAGGGGAUUUGGGGAGCGCACACUCUGGAGCAGAAGUACAGGUAUGUGCCCGAAUCCUGCCUCGUGAUGGGCAUUCAUGAUACGAACCACACAGCCUUUAAAGAAAAGGUUUUAUAUGAAAGGUUCCAUUUUGUUUCUGUAUAAAGGCUUUUAUCCUGUAAGGAAAAAAAAAAAACACAAAACCC
rnacentral:lncRNA from 1 species